rnacentral:lncRNA from 1 species
CUGUCCGUUCCUCCUUCCCAAAGAGAAGAAGAUGGCGAUCUCCAACAGGAUCCUGAUCAUCCGAUCUUUAAUGGUAAAUCCUCAGUUACAUUAGUUUCUCUUAUUAAUCUGUCAUAUAUAUCUUGUCCCCUUUGAAAGUGUUUUACGAAGAACAAACAUAAAUCAGAUCUAACCUUUUUUAAUCUCUUUUGCAUGUUGGAUCUGAUGACUUUCUUGGUUAUUCCGAUGAGCUGGAAACAUGUUACGAUGCCUUAUUAAUAAAUAAGUUUUUAUUGAAAGUUUAAGCCG